rnacentral:rRNA from 1 species
UACGUAGGGUGCAAGCGUUAAUCGGAAUUACUGGGCGUAAAGCGUGCGCAGGCGGUUUUGUAAGACAGGCGUGAAAUCCCCGGGCUCAACCUGGGAAUUGCGCUUGUGACUGCAAAGCUGGAGUGCGGCAGAGGGGGAUGGAAUUCCGCGUAGCAGUGAAAUGCGUAGAUAUGCGGAGGAACACCGAUGGCGAAGGCAAUCCCCUGGGCCUGCACUGACGCUCAUGCACGAAAGCGUGGGGAGCAAACAGG